rnacentral:rRNA from 1 species
GGUUUAAUUCGAAGCAACGCGAAGAACCUUACCAGGUCUUGACAUCCCGUUGACCACUGUAGAGAUAUGGUUUUCCCUUCGGGGACAACGGUGACAGGUGGUGCAUGGUUGUCGUCAGCUCGUGUCGUGAGAUGUUGGGUUAAGUCCCGCAACGAGCGCAACCCUUGAUCUUAGUUGCCAUCAUUUAGUUGGGCACUCUAAGGUGACUGCCGGUGACAAAUCGGAGGAAGGUGGGGAUGACGUCAAAUCAUCAUGCCCCUUAUGACCUGGGCUACACACGUGCUACAAUGGACGAUACAAACGGUUGCCAACUCGCGAGAGGGAGCUAAUCCGAUAAAGUCGUUCUCAGUUCGGAUUGUAGGCUGCAACUCGCCUACAUGAAGUCGGAAUCGCUAGUAAUCGCGGAUCAGCAUGCCGCGGUGAAUACGUUCCCGGGCCUUGUACACACCGCCCGUCACACCACGAGAGUUUGUAACACCCGAAGUCGGUGAGGUAACCUUUUGG